AGGCGCGUGCCUGAUGACGCAGUCACUCUUUUUGCCGAGUAUCAUGGGAAAAUAACAUAGCAGGCUAGCACGCGCAGGAAGAGAGGAGAAGAACCGAGACCUCCGCGGAACGAAACUAUUCCCUUGUCGGCUUGUUGGAUAUUUAGCGCGUGUCGCUGUCGAGCGAGUUCGCGGAAGAAGAGGUCAGCGUCGUUCCUGCUUCAGAUACUAAAGCCCGUCGAGAUUACAUUCAGAAGAUAAGCAGAAACUUUAUCAAGCGAGGUUACAGUCGACGGCGGUGUGAAUAUGAGUUACAAGCCGAUCGCCCCCGCACCCACCGGCUCCAACCACACGCCACCAGGAUCAUGUGGCUCAUCUCCAUCACUGGCUUCCUCUUCUAACUUUAGACCAGCAUUUAGUGACUUUGGUCCACCAUCAAUGGGCUUUAUACAAGUAUCAUCCACGCACGUGCUCUUGUCAGGGAGUGUCUAGCGGAGACAGAGCGAAGUGUUCGCACAUAACAUCCACACACACGCACCCUCCCUCUGGUACUUGUCUUAUCUUGCCCUAU